GGUAAUAUGGCUGAGCUAUAAGCGAUAAAUUGUAAAUUUAUUAACGAAUAAAAUUCUUUUACCA
rnacentral:tRNA from 1 species